UGAAAGGGGUCAGCAAUUUGUACAGCCUUUUACUCUUUCAUAUAUAUCUUCAGAGAUUUUGAGUGGUCAGAAAAAAAAGGCAAUGAAAAUAUGUGUUGGGAAACCAGCUAUUUUUCACCUGAUUUCACAGGGAGGUUUGGCUGGAAAAAGGCAAUGAUGGCCUGUUUUAAGCCCAUGUUUUUGUACUGGAGAUGUAGAGAAUCAUCAGGAAGGCCUUGAGAUUCAAUUUGAAGAUUCCACAUCAAGGAGAAAUGGCCAUAUUCCUAUGUUUAGGUCCUGCCGGCCAGUUUCAUCGGGGAGCUUAUUAUUCCACUGGAGGAGCAGCAGAGGCUGGCGGAGGAGGGGGAUGGAUGCUGCAGACCUUCCCCCGCCCAGGUGCAGGACUGAAAGUUUUGGGUUGUGAGCUGACUGCUCCCUAACCAGAGGGCUCAGCCAUGGGGGUGUUUUUAUCACCCCACACAACCUCCCCUCGCUCUCUGUGCCCUGGAGAGGACAAGCCUGAUGAAGACUCUUGUAAGAAGCGAGGAGAAGGUUCACCUCUGUUCUCUCAGAAUCCGAGGCACUUACAAGGGCAGAUAAAUGGAGCCUCAAGUGAGCAACUACCAGCAGCCCUUCUUCUGUUCUGCUGGGAGAAACAUUGGUCCUGUUCUUUCCUUUCCCCUCCUGUUCCCCCUCACUACACCAAAUCUGGCCCAAGAGGAACUCUGCAGCUGUCCUGGGAAAGGAGAGUGGGUUCCCCAGGACCAGACCCACCUGUCCACCCUGGCAGGCUGACAAAGGAAACUGGGAAGCACCCAGGUAGGGACACAGUCAGGUAAUGCUGCAAAAAUAAGAGAGGCAGUGAUUUGGUGCUGUGCUGCUCAAAACCCCUGGAGCUGAGAAGAAGGGCAGCUGGAAAGAAGAAAAAAAUAGAAAUUAUUUUGGUCCAAAAUGAGAUAUUUUUUUCAACUUCAUCCUUCUUAUUUUUGGUGCAUAGUUAAAAGGAAUAUGAAUUCUGUUCAAGCUUUUUCCUUCAUUUUAUGUCAACUUUAAAUCAAAUUAAUGUGAAUAUGACUAGGAUUCCAACUGAAAAGUGGAAAGCCAAAUAGCUCCUUGGAAUUGAUAAUAGUAAUGAAAAAAAGUAUUUUCAAAACAAGGACUUUAUGCUGCCAGCAUCUAAAAGAACUACUUCAAGGCUUUUGAAAUGCCUCAGUACACACAUGCACCCAUAUUUCUUAUGGGCUGCAUGCUGAGUUCAAUCAUGUUUUAAGGUCAUCUCAUCCUGUGCUUAUUGUUUGUUAAAUACAGGUGCCAAACUGAGUAGGGAAAUUACACAGACUAGUGAAUGUAGAAUGGUUCUGAGAGGAGAGAGAGUAUGCUUGGUCAUAAUACUAAAAUAUAUGUAAUUAAUUGCUGUGUUCAUUGGAGAAAUAGCAGGGAACAUAAAAUUAAUCAUCAAAUGGGGGCUACCAAGUAAAAGAAAAAAUCUUGACAUUGUCAGGAAGCUGAAUAGUUCCUACCCCAGGGGUUCAAAUCACUUGGCUGUACAUACCUGGAAGAGCUGGCAAUGCUCCAUCAGACACACAGGAGGUAAAGGAAGAAAUAACAUCCAAAAGCCAGACCAAAAGUUCAAUGCAAUCUCUGUCCAUAUUAUCAUGUGGGUCCUUUUCUUAGGAGGAUUAAAAUCCUUGUAUUUUUGCUGGUCUCAGUAAUUUUCUUUCAAUAAUGUACUGGUAUUACCUAGUGUCGGGAACAUAAGUCAAGUGACUUAAUUUUUGGCAGUUAUAAGGGCUGUAACAGAAAAUAUUACUUUUAUUUCACAUCAUUAGGUCAAAUUAAGUUUAUCAGCUGGAAUUCAUGCUGUUAACCAGGGGAUGUGAAGAGCCUCUUCAUACUGCUUCUUGGGUUUUAAAGGGAAAAAAAAAUCCUCUUUUCUCUUAAGGCUGGUGCAUGUUUCAGGGCAAUACUACUUAGACUUUUCCAUGACAUUUUUCUUGAAUGGUCCAUGGUACACUGGGGGCUGUGAAGCAAAACUAAGUGAGCCUCUUGUUUACACUUUUUCCUCUCCUUUGUCAGGUUAUUGCUCCCUUUUGGACCUAACUUUGUUUUCAUGUUUUCUCUUUCAAGUAGUCCCUUAUGAAUCCUCUUUCUCCUCACAAAUCUUCCACAGACUGCCUUGUUUUUCCCAUGUCUGUAAUAAUCAUACCUAUAAGAUAUUUUGGUGGUAAAGAGGCAGUUGCAUGGAGUAAAGAUGUGUGUAAUUAAGAGGUCAGAGCUUGCACCCUGAAAUAAAUGGCUCUCUGAUAAAUUACUUGUCUCUCAGUGAUUGCUGAGCACUGAUAGUACUGAACUGAGGAACCGCUGUUAGCAAUUUGCCUCUCUGAAACACCUGGAAAUGUGGAUGGUGAUGGGAAUGUGCUCAAAUACUACUAAGAGUUGUGGGAGCCAGUGACAAGGAAAACAAACAGAAUAAAGCCUCAUUUUUAUGACAACAGAUAACUCAUAUUUAUAAUAUCUUACUGUUAACUGAGACAGAGAUGACUAAUUGAUAUUCCACAUCACAGAAGUCUGAGGAGUGAGUUCUGUACUCAAGGUAAAAAUGACCCAUAUGAGAGAUAGAUUUUAAACAGAGCAGACAAAUAAAAGGUUUCUACAGAAAAGUGUGUUUCUCUUCUGAGGCUAAGGAGAUGAUUUGUCAAUUUACAAGGGAUUGCAUGACAUCCUGAUCAGUUCCUGUGAUGGGCUUUAAGGGAAAAUGCCAAAAGAGAGACUUCAGGAAACCAGAAUUAACCUUUAAGAAACUGUGGGGUUUUGACAGGGAAAAGCAAUCACAAGGGCAGAACUGAGAGGACAACAAUGUUCUGAUGUUGGGGCAAUUGCAAAAGCCCAGAAAGGAUAUGUGAGGGAAAAGGGAAGUAAAACUAAAAGUCUUGACUUCACAAAAAUAUCAUGCAGAGCUGUCUGGACUGAGACAAGGAACAAAAAGCCACACACUCUGGGAAGCAUCCAAACAUUCUUCUGUGUUACCUUGACUUCCACAAAUUUGCAAAGACUGGCUAACCAUGAGCAAUUUGGUUAAGAGGACAUCAGCAGCACCAUUUAUGAAAAGCAAAACUUCACAAGAGCAAUGGACAAGAUGUCAGUAGAAGAUAAAUGAGUUCUUACUCAGAAAGUAAAUGUAACUUUUAUUAGUUUUAGGUGUACAAGCCAGUGUUUUGUCAGAGAUGGUGAUAGUCACAAGGACAGAAAAGCCCAGGUAAGACAAGUGGAUGAAAUUCAAGUUUGUAGUUGUGGUCUUAUUGCCAUGAAGGGAGUGAGUGAAGUAAAUGUAUACAGAAAUUCCAUACUGCAAAAAUACAAUUUGUAAUAAUACCAGGGACAAAAGCAUCCUUCACUGAUUUUAAAAUAUAUCAAGUUCUUCAUCUUAUGUGGUGGUGUCUCACCUCAGAAGAAAAGGUGACAAACUGUUAAGAAGAAGUUUAGGACACUUUCCCAGUGGAGAGGAAAGCAUUCAGCAGAAUACAAAAUACAUCUGAAAGCCAAACUGUUCAUUGUCCAAUGGAAAAGCAAAGAAAGGAGCUGGCUAAGAUUAUUACUGUAGAGAAAAAAGAGAACAAGGAACAGAAGAAACAGAGCACACCAUUCACUUUCUGGGGGAAAAAAACCCCAAGAAAUUCUCUAAGCAAUAGGAUGAAGAAACCUCAUAAAUUACGUGUCUUGAUUAAAUGCGGGGGGUUCAAC